rnacentral:rRNA from 1 species
AGUGAACGCUGGCGGUAGGCCUAACACAUGCAAGUCGAACGGCAGCACAGUAAGAGCUUGCUCUUACGGGUGGCGAGUGGCGGACGGGGGAGGAAUACAUCGGAAUCUACUUUUUCGUGGGGGAUAACGUAGGGAAACUUACGCUAAUACCGCAUACGACCUACGGGUGAAAGCAGGGGAUCUUCGGACCUUGCGCGAUUGAAUGAGCCGAUGUCGGAUUAGCUAGUUGGCGGGGUAAAGGCCCACCAAGGCGACGAUCCGUAGCUGGUCUGAGAGGAUGAUCAGCCACACUGGAACUGAGACACGGUCCAGACUCCUACGGGAGGCAGCAGUGGGGAAUAUUGGACAAUGGGCGCAAGCCUGAUCCAGCCAUACCGCGUGUGUGAAGAAGGCCUUCGGGUUGUAAAGCCCUUUUGUUGGGAAAGAAAAGCAGCAGGUUAAUACCCCGCUGUUCUGACGGUACCCAAAGAAUAAGCACCGGCUAACUUCGUG